rnacentral:tRNA from 1 species
GGAGAGAUGCCGGAGCGGUCAAACGGCGCACGUUGGAAACGUGAUGGUCCCGCAAGGGACGCCAGAGUUCGAGUCUCUGUCUCUCCGCCA